GAUGAACGCUCGCUACAGGCUUAACACAUGCAAGUCGCGGGGCAGCAUGGGGGUUGCUUGCACUCCCCGAUGGCGACCGGCGCACGGGUGAGUAACGCGUAUCCAACCUGCCCUUCACCACGGGAUAACCCGGCGAAAGUCGGACUAAUACCGUAUGUUGUCCAUUGACGGCAUCCGAUUUGGACGAAAGGCUUGGCGGUGAGGGAUGGGGAUGCGUCCGAUUAGCCAGACGGCGGGGUAACGGCCCACCGUGGCUACGAUCGGUAGGGGUUCUGAGAGGAAGGUCCCCCACACUGGAACUGAGACACGGUCCAGACGCCUACGGGAGGCAGCAGUGAGGAAUAUUGGUCAAUGGGCGUAAGCCUGAACCAGCCAAGUAGCGUGCAGGAGGACGGCCCUAUGGGUUGUAAACUGCUUUUAUGCGGGGAUAAAGUGGCCCACGGGUGGGCUUUUGCAGGUACCGCAUGAAUAAGGACCGGCUAAUUCCGUG
rnacentral:rRNA from 1 species